rnacentral:rRNA from 1 species
UACGUAGGUGGCAAGCGUUGUCCGGAUUUACUGGGCGUAAAGAGCGCGCAGGCGGUCGUCCAAGUCGCGUGUGAAAGCCCCCCGGCUCAACUGGGGAGGGUCACGCGAUACUGGUCGACUCGAAGGCAGGAGAGGGUAGUGGAAUUCCCGGUGUAGUGGUGAAAUGCGUAGAUAUCGGGAGGAACACCAGUGGCGAAGGCGGGUCUCUGGACAGUUCCUGACGCUGAGGCACGAAGGCCAGGGGAGCAAACGGG